rnacentral:rRNA from 1 species
GAUGAACGCUAGCAACAGGCUUAACACAUGCAAGUCGAGGGGUCUUGACGGAGCUUGCUCUUGAUAGACGACCGGCGCACGGGUGAGUAACGCGUAUCCAACCUGCCCUUCAUAUUGGGAUAGCCUUCCGAAAGGGAGAUUAAUACCGAAUAACAUAUCAAGAUUGCAUGAUAUUGAUUUGAAAGAUCCGUCGAUGAAGGAUGGGGAUGCGUUUCAUUAGGUAGUAGGCGGGGUAACGGCCCACCUAGCCAACGAUGAAUAGGGGUUCUGAGAGGAAGGUCCCCCACACUGGAACUGAGACACGGUCCAGACUCCUACGGGAGGCAGCAGUGAGGAAUAUUGGUCAAUGGGCGCAAGCCUGAACCAGCCGAGUAGCGUGAAGGAUGACUGCCCUAUGGGUUGUAAACUUCUUUUUUACGGGAACAAAUGUUGCUACGUGUAGCAAUUUGCGUGUACCGUACGAAUAAGCAUCGGCUAACUCCGUGCCAGCCGCCGCAGUAACAC